GCAGGAAUUCUUCUGCUCCCCAGAUACUUGCACAGCCAGAUGUUUGCAUGCACAAGGUUGAGUUUAAUUCUGCUCACAGUGCUGUACAAGAAACAUUAGUGAUGCUACUCCCUAUUAACCCCUGCACUGCAAAAAGCCCGAGGAGCACAGUGACGCUGACAUGCAAAGCAGUCAUCCCCUGCCUAAGACCCAGUCCAGCCAUGGUCUCAGGGUGGAGAAGAGCGAGAGAUGCAGGAGAUACAGAACUAUCUGUACACAGUGAUGCUGAGAGCUCCGGGAUCUCACAGUGGGAUGAAUGGAAAGAAAACAUGGAGUUUGCUUCUGUCCGUGCUGGCCUGAGGAGAUGGACGUCCUGCCAGGUUGGAAAUCUCCCCGAGCCUCGGCUGCUGUUUUCCCUCCCUUUGGCACAAGAUGUCAGUGCUGCUCAAGGAACGGUGCUGCCCUCCAUCCGUCACCCUCUGUGGGUGCUGCCGGGGUUCAGAGGUGACACCCACCAGGAGGGGACCACCGAGGGCUUUGGGGGGCUGGGGGAGAGGGGUUGCUCAGAGUAGGUCUCAUCCAGCCCUGUGGCUUUGUGGCCCUAUCCCUGGGGGUAAGGUGGAGCUCGCCAGCCCUAAUGGGAUCAUUUAAGGUAUUUUUUGGGAUGGAGGAGCCGUAAGGACAUCAGCCCCAUCCCUGCGUCUCAUGGCAUCGCUCUCAGCAUGGAAUACUGAGAUCCAACUGGGGACAUAUGGCUCUGCUCAACAUCAAUGGGAAAUGCUGGGCAUGGGGGGACAUGAGCUGCUCCACACUGGGAAAAAGAAUAUGAAAGAGAAUAUGGUGUAAAAGGAAGCAGGGGAUCAAAAAUGAAACUCUUUACCCAUCACAUGUGGAAAAAGGGAAAAAAAUCCUCAAAAGAGUGUUGACAAGUCUGGAGGCUUCUGGGACCCCGGGUGACCAGAAAAAUAACACAUCAAAGACCUCACGUAUGCCUGAAGACAGAUAAAAACUCUGAGCCAAAAUGUUCUAUGAAUAUUUAAGUACCAUCAAUAUUUAAUUAGGAGAUAGAGAGAGAUUAAGAGCAAGGAUACCCAUCCCCUGUGUGCUCCAGCCCUGCGCUGUGCAGUGUGGGCAUGGCACCACUGGGCUCGGUACAAAACUCAUGGUGCAGUCACCAUGGAGAAAGGAAAAAGAGCCCCAGAAGGAAAGAAAAGGCUCAGAGCUGUGGCAGUCCCAAGCAUGGCCCUUCCCUGAAGCCUAUCCAGGACACAGUAGGGUGGAGGAUUGGAAAGGCAAGGAGAGAAACUGUCCCAAAACUCAUGGGAAAGAGUGAAGGUUGAGGGUUUGUCACCCAUCACUGUGCUGGGUGGGCAGAAGGAGAGCACACAGGGGUCCCCAUCCUGCCCUGGUGACAGUGACAAGGUGUGGCAGUGUGAUGUCUUCCCCUUCUGCUUUUCCUUUCCUUCAUCCUUGGCCAAUGUGGGCCAGGGGUGAGGAUGGGGAUGCUUAGGGGACACAUCCCUCCUGCAAACCACUGACUUACCUUGGCCAUCCCUGGGGGUGUAGCAGGAUUUGGACAGCCUGCACGACUCAGCCCUGGGCUUUGGGACCCCCCCUCCAUACCUGGGGGUCAUUUCCCUCUAUGGGAGUGUCCUUGGUUGGAUGGCAAUGGGAAGGUGCCAACAAAGCCUGGAGAGAGUGGUUCCCUGCCUGCUGUGGGGCAGUGUCUUUGCUGCAAGUUUACAGCCCCCAGCUGACUCACACUUCCCAGCUCCUUCCUCACCCAGUGGCUCCUUGUGCAAGCUGUGAGAGGGUUCAGUCCCAGUGCAUUUGCUCUGGACCAAGUUUUGGAAUUGAUCUGGGAUUGGACCCUGCUGCACUGCCCCAUCCUCACUUUCUGUCCUAUUGCCAGUCCCCGUGCUCCAUCCUGCUGGAUCCUGAGCUGCGGUGCCACAUUCUAUAGCAUCCCAAUGGCUUUAAUCUGGGUUUUAUGCCUUCCACGGUCUUUGAGCAUCUCCUGAGCUGUGAAUGCUGCCGUUUCUGCACACAAAGCUGUUUCCCACCUGCAGCUGGAAGCCGGCAGCAUCCCGCAUCCCACACUCCAUCCCCUCCCCAGCAGUGUGAAGCCAUCUCCCACUCCACUGGAGGACCUGCCAACCCCGGAGCCCAGCAACGGUGCCAGCACCCGCUUUGCCCUGGGAGGACGAGGAGGAUGCAGGCACUCGGCUAUGAAAUCACUUCUCGUGCAGCACGGGAUGCUGCCAUCGGUCUACGUGGGAACCUGCCUGGCUGCCGUAUCUGGGCCAUUCACCACUCGAGACUUUUAGCGCCCGGAGCAACGGCAUGUACUGCUGAUGAGUUCUUUCUGCUCCAGUAAUUACAGUGAGGAAUUUGUCAGAACGAGCUUUCUAAAACCUUCUUGUCUUGUUCUGAUUUUACCUGGAGUGUAAAAAGUCAUUAGUAUGGUAAAACGGAGGCUGUGCUAAGCCAGCAAGCCAUCCAGAUAACACGGUUUACAUCCACUACACUCUCAAUAUGCAAAAAAAAAAAAAAAAAAAAAAAAAGAAAGAACGAAAAAGCUGGCUUCAUAUUUUACCCAGAUGGAGUUUUUUCGCAAUUGAAAUUAGCAGGAUGGGAAGGGAAGGGAGGAAGGCACAUUGCCCUGUAAUUGCGGGCAGUUUGGGUUCCAUCUGCGUCUUUCCAUCCAGGAGCGCAAUUGGAGUGCAGCAUCACCCCACUGCAUGGACCGUGCUGCUAAGGCACGUGGAGGGCACCGAGCCCAUUUUGGCCAGGCCCUAAAAUGCAUUUCCUACACUGGGUGGAAAACUCAGCCAGAGGAUGCCCUGCUCUGAGCAUUGCCCCAUCCCACGGGGAGCACGGUGCAGGGAGAAGAACACCUUCCUGGCCCCAUUGCAGCCCCAAAAUGGCCCCGUGCAUGGCUCCGGAUGCUCCCAGCCCCUUUUGGCUCCUGCAGCACUGUGAAGGAUUUUAGCAGAUGUCAGGGAGCAUCUGGGGCUGAGCGUCUUGGGAACUCAGGCUUGAAAUGAGCUGAGAAACAAAAAAUAAUCUCUAUAGGAAAAUAAAGGAGCUGAGGUCAGAAGAAGUUGUGAAGCAUGUGUUUGUGCCCUGGCUGCUAUUUUCAGCCAUCCCCAGUGUGAAAAAUUAAUAAUCAAAAUUUAGUGCAGUAUACAAAGUAGUAAAAGAGGAUUGCACUGAGUGGGAAGGGCUGAAUAUGUGAGCCAGAGAUGCCCUGGGAGAAGAUAGAUGCAGGAUCCCUCAUCCUUCCUCCAUUCCCACCCCCAUCCCCAUCCCCAUCUCCAUCCCAUCCCCAUCCCCAUCUCCAUCCCAUCCCCAUCUCCAUCCCCAUCCCCAUCUUCAUCCC
rnacentral:lncRNA from 1 species